AACGCGAAGAACCUUACCAGCCUUUGACAUGUCCGGUAUGAAUUCCAGAGAUGGAUUUCUUCAGUUCGGCUGGCCGGAACACAGGUGCUGCAUGGCUGUCGUCAGCUCGUGUCGUGAGAUGUUGGGUUAAGUCCCGCAACGAGCGCAACCCACGCCCUUAGUUGCCAUCAUUAAGUUGGGCACUCUAGGGGGACUGCCGGUGAUAAGCCGAGAGGAAGGUGUGGAUGACGUCAAGUCCUCAUGGCCCUUACGGGCUGGGCUACACACGUGCUACAAUGGCGGUGACAAUGGGACGCGGAGGGGUGACCCCGAGCAAAUCUCAAAAAGCCGUCUCAGUUCGGAUUGUACUCUGCAACUCGAGUGCAUGAAGGUGGAAUCGCUAGUAAUCGUAGAUCAGAACGCUACGGUGAAUACGUUCCCGGGCCUUGUACACACCGCGCAUA
rnacentral:rRNA from 1 species